AACGAACGCUGGCGGCAUGCCUAACACAUGCAAGUCGAACGAAACCUUCGUGGCUUGUUUCGCACGAGUGCGUACCGCCUGGGAACCGGCCCUUAAGUUCGGAACAACUCCCCGAAUGGGGUGCUAAUACCGGAUAAUGUCUUCGGACCAAAGAUUUAUCGCGUCUGGAUGGGCCCGAGUUGGAUUAGCUAGUUGGUAGGGUAAAAGCCUACCAAGGCGACGAUUCAUAGCUGGUCUGAGCGGAGGAUCAGCGACACUGGGACUAAGACACGGACCAGUCUCGUACGGGGGGCAGCGGUGGGGAGUAUUAGACAAUGAGGGAGAGUGUGGUCCAGCAGUGCCGCGGGAGUGAUGCAGGCCUUAGGGUUGUAAAGCGCUUUUAACCGGGCUGUUAAUGACGGUACCGGGAGAAUAAGCACCGGCUAACUCCGUG
rnacentral:rRNA from 1 species